UGAGGAACAUGACCUUCGGCGGGGGAUAGCCGGCCCAACGGCCGGGUAAUACCGCGUACGACCACAUGGGGACAUCCCCGAGUGGUGAAAGCAGCAAUGCGCCGAUGGAGUGCCUCGCGGCCUAUCAGCUAGUUGGUGAGGUAACGGCUCACCAAGGCGACGACGGGUAGCUGGUCUGAGAGGAUGGCCAGCCACAUUGGGACUGAGACACGGCCCAGACUCCGUAGGGAGG
rnacentral:rRNA from 1 species